AACAGAAGGUUGAAUCUGGUCUCCACAAAAGAAAGUGAAAGAAACACAAGGGUAGAAGGACUCAAGACGGGAGAUGGAAAGGUAGGUCCUGUAAACAUCAUAUCUAAACGUUAUAUAUCACUCAAAAUUUUUGCAGGAGAAUCCUGUCUCUCCAAAAAUAUAUCUAAAUACAUCAGUGUACUAAUACGUCGUUAACUACUUGAAAGAGAAUAUUACAUUUGACUGCUGGAUAUGGAAAAAUAUACGUAGUGCAGUGAAAUAACCAGCGAUGCUCCUAAGUAUGAACCAUGCCAGAAAUUGUAUUAC